UUGAUGAGCCUAUCCCCUCGCUGAGGCGUGACGACGCGUCGCGUUGCUGA
rnacentral:snoRNA from 1 species